rnacentral:lncRNA from 1 species
GACUCUAAUGCAUCUAAGCUGGUAGGAAUUUUAAAUCCAGGCAGGUGCAGCUCCGAGGCACAGAAAAAUGCGGUAGGUCGUGCACGCUGCCAAGAAGCAGGGAUUUCACUUAGGGUUCAGGAUCUGCGCCCAGAAAGAACUGAAAAGUGAAGCCCUCUUCAUGCCUGUGACGUCUGUGACUCGAGACCACCUUUCCCUCCUGUCCAAGAGAAACGUGAGGAUGUUUUCCACAAGGCAGGAAGGAGGCAGCAGAGAGGCUCAAAUGGCCCAGUGAAAACACGACUUUUAAUUAAAAAGAAAUGUUCCCGCCACUGCCUCCACCAGUGCUGCAAACGUCCUUGCGACGAGGGCUCAUUGUGCACAAGAGAAUUAAAAUAUCCGCUUUAAGAGAAGGAAAAUCAUCUUCUGAUCAAAACACCUGUAUUUGAGUUGGGUAAAAAUUCAAGAUCAGUGCAUCUAAAGGACACAUUCAGGUUAAAGAAUUAAAGGAGACAAAGACUUUCUGAGUUACGUUGCAGAAGAUGAGACGGCAAAGGAGAUAAAGAAGAAAUGUCAGAGAAGUGGGAGGAAAACCCCGUGUCUAGGAAGCCAGGAGGAACUCACAUCUCACAAAUGGAUCAAUAAAUGAAGGAAUAAGACUGAAUACAUACGUUGCCAGUAUAAGAUGAAUAAUCCUGAAAACAAUGAGGAGGGAAACACUCAAACUACGAUUUAUAGAAUUAGGGAGAGUAAAUACACCUGUUAGAUAUCAUUUUUGGUGCUCCGUUCUCCUGCUAGUUUAGGUAGGACACCAUGGGAUGUGCGGAAAGGAAUUUACUCCAUCAGAAUAAUGGGCUAGACACCCGUGAUUUAGAAUAAUCUGCCUUUACUCUGACUGCCAGAAGCAAAAGGAAAUUUUCUCUGGAAAAAACUUGCACCCGCAUACUCCGCCUUUUCUCCUGUUUCGACAGACAGCCUCUCUCUGCUCCGAACUAAGGCCAAGCUCAGCAUUUGUGCACUACGUCCCAUCCCCUCUUACUGAGAAGAUUAGCCCUGAGCUAACAUCUGCUGCCAAUCCUCCUCUUUUGGCUGAGGAAGACUGGCCCUGAGCGCACAUCCGUGCCCAUCUUCCUCUACUUUAUGUGUGGGACGCCUACCACAGCAUGGCUUGCCAAGUGGUGCCAUGUCCGCACCAAGGAUCCGAACCAGCGAACCCCAUGCCGCUGAAGCGAAACAUGCGUACUUAACCACUGCACCACCGGGCCAGCCCCACAUCAAUUAUUUUAUAUUGUGUC